rnacentral:rRNA from 1 species
AUUGAACGCUGGCGGCAGGCCUAACACAUGCAAGUCGAGCGGAUGAAGGGAGCUUGCUCCUGGAUUCAGCGGCGGACGGGUGAGUAAUGCCUAGGAAUCUGCCUUGUAGUGGGGGAUAACGUCCGGAAACAGGCGCUAAUACCGCAUACGUCCUGAGGGAGAAAGUGGGGGAUCUUCGGACCUCACGCUAUCAGAUGAGCCUAGGUCGGAUUAGCUAGUUGGUGGGGUAAAGGCCUACCAAGGCGACGAUCCGUAACUGGUCUGAGAGGAUGAUCAGUCACACUGGAGCUGAGACCCGGUCCAAACUCCUACGGGAGGCAGCAGUGGGGAAUAUUGGACAAGGGGCGAAAGCCUGAUCCAGUCAUGCCGCGUGUGUGAAGAAGGUCUUCGGAUUGUAAAGCACUUUAAGUUGGGAGGAAGGGCAGUAAGUUAAUACCUUGCUGUUUUGACGUUACCAACAGAAUAAGCACCGGCUAACUUCGU